GCUCGGUGGCGCAGCUGGUAGCACUAUAGCCUUGCAGCAAGAAGGUCCUUGGUUCAACUCCUGGCUGGGGGUCU